rnacentral:tRNA from 1 species
GGGGGUAUAGCUCAGUUGGUUAGAGUGCUUGCUUGACAUGCAAGAGGUCGCAGAUUCGAGCUCUGCUAUCCCCACCA